UGCCCAUGUUGUUGGUGGCUCCUCACAUGCUGUCUGUCGACUCUGCUCAGUCUCGGCAUGAAUAUUAUUCACAGAUUCUUUUUUCUUUUCUGGCAAAAUAUCCAACUUCACCUUCAACGAAGCUCCUGCUUCCAGUUCAUCUUCACUAGCUGGGCCCUGAAACUCUGGGGUAUCUGCUCAUGUACGAGUGACUGAUGACUCCAUCUCAGGAGGACUUUGCCACGGGGCAUUGCUGUGGCGUGCUCAUGCGGGACAUCUCCCGGCCUACUGGACGUUCGCACGAGUAGCCGAGAAGUGAAGGGCUCGCCGAUGACUGACCUCUUCGACGUGAUGUCGCCUUGGUCGCCAAGCUCACAGGUUGCCUUGAAUAUAUCAUUCGCCUGGCUGUACUGUCCCAUUGUCAGAGUCAGGAUCCUCCUCCUUUCAUCAGGAUUGGAGGUGCUGUGAUCUUUCGUGAGUUAGAUUCCUCUUACAUUUUCAUACAAAACUACAUGACUGUUACCUGUCGUACAGAUAAUUAAAAGGAAUUAAAUAUUGUCAAAAUGAUGGCAUGCAUAUGAGUGAUACCUAUGCAUACAAGUAGGCCAUAAUUGAGCCAAAGGGAAUAUGAAUCCAUACUAAGCAGUGUUAGUGAUGCGUAUCUUCCCUGAAUCUGCUAUCCGAUGCCAGGGUGGGGUAUGAAAUCAGACACCCCUGGUACAGCAGUGCCUGCUUAUAAUAAUUCCCUGCUGACAGGACACAGUUUAUCUGGCAGAUUACUACUGUACGGUCACUACACCGGAUCUUCGUCACGUUGCCUGAGGUUGAGGCGAGAUAGAAGGAAAAGAUCUUAGAAAGGAUCCGCUGCUUUUCCUGUUCCAGGAGGCUACGCUGAGAGGCAGGCUGUCUUCUAAAACGGCGGGACACAAGAACAAGGUGAAGCAGGAGACACUGGCAAUGACCUCGAGUGACCUUCAAAGAGAAUGGGAACCAUUAAGUGGUGUGAAGUGCACUGCUGGUGUAGUUCGUAUCAGGCUCCUAGAAGCAGGACCAUAAAGUAAGGAAGAAGCCCUUCAUUAAUGAGAAGCAGAGAAAAACCAGGCUGCAGUUUGCAAAACAAUGUAUGUCUUACACAGGCACAUAACCUUAAAUUGAGAGAUGAAUGAAACUGAAAAUUUUGCUUAUAUACGGUACCACUCAGCACGAUAUAUAUCCUCAGUUCCAUUUAAAACAAAUUUGUCUAAAAACCUGAAAAGCAGCUGUCAUACUUAUUAAAUAUAGUCAAGGCUAUUAAAUCAAAUAUUCGUCUGAAUAGCUGCAUGCUUUUUCAAACCAUGUUAAAAUGAAAAGCAGUGUUAUUGGCAAAAGCCCAUCCCAUUUAUCAUUAGCUUUCCUUUCCGAAAAGGUUUUAUUCACGUUAAUAGCUGGAUAUGGAGCAGCGAUGGUUGGGAAUGGAAUUCUGCUUCCUUCCUGAGGGUUUUAAAACAGUACGUGCUUUUUGUGUGCUGUGCAAUCCCCCGCCAACCACAGUGCAGGUGGGGGACAACAAAGCCCACACGCCACACUGUGACAUUUGUGUUCAAAACAGCGAUUUUGUAGACGCGAUUGGGAAUUGAAAUGAAUUAUCUGAAAAAAGAAAAACAGCAUUAUUGCUUUACCGGAUCACUUGGAAUUGUUUGCCAGUGAAAAAAAUCACUCUACAUGGGGAAUGCCCCCCCCCCCGUAGCAGAGGGACAACAGGGCCCAUUAAACCUGCGUGUCAUGCUGAUCUUCCACAUACUCUGAUACUGAAAUACAGAGGAGCAUGUUCAGACCGGACAGCUGAAGAAACACGCACACUCGUCCUUUUUCUGUUAACGCCGCACAUUUCUUUGUGCCCGCGGAUGUGCUUUCUACCUCCUGUGCUUUUGUGCAUUUAUUUCCAGAAAUCGCCUGCACUAGCAGAGGGUGGAGCCUUUCUACUGCUUUUAGUUCUAUCCUGGUCCUUAGCAGUGACACCGUCCCCUUCCUUCAAUCAGAACUUUGAAAUCCAUCUCACUCUUCACUCCUCAGCCAAUUUGUAAAGGUUAUGCCUUACUAUUGAACUAAUUGAGUCUGCCUUGGUUUAUAUGUAAAUACAUCCAUCUAUCCAUCCAUUUUCCAAACCGCUUAUCCUACUGGGUCGCGGUGGGUCCGGAGCCUAUCUCAGAAGCAAUGGGCACGAGGCAGGGAACAACCCAGGAUGGGGGGCCAGCCCAUCGCAGGGCACACUCACGCACCAUUCACUCUCACAUGCACUCCUAUGGGCAAUUUAGCAACUCCAAUUAGCCUCAGCAUGUUUUUGGACUGUAGGGGGAAACUGGAGGAAACCCCACGACGACAUGAGGAGAACAUGCAAACUC